UCCACGAUGGUGUAAUGGCUAACAUCGCUGUCUUUCAGGUAUUUCUUCACAGCAGCUCGGGGUUCGAUUCCCCGUCGUGGAA